GGCUCCGUAGCUCAAUGGCAGAGCAGUUGACUCUUAAUCAAUUGGUUGAGGGUUCAAAUCCCCCCGGAGUCACCA
rnacentral:tRNA from 2 species